rnacentral:sRNA from 21 species
UGUCGCCCGCUUCGUCAGGGUCAAGGCCAUGACGACUGUGCGAAAAGUUGAUCUGGUCGUGCCGCUGGCCAAACAGGCCACCGCCAUGCGCAUCGCAGAUACCGCCGGGCUAGAUACCCAGGGCAGGUCUGGCGCAGUUUCCCUGCUGACUGAUCGCGACAGUCGGCGGGGCGACGUAGAUAGCACGAUAAACCG